rnacentral:rRNA from 1 species
ACGCUGGCGGCAGGCUUAACACAUGCAAGUCGAACGGUAACAGGGAUUAGCUUGCUAAUCUGCUGACGAGUGGCGGACGGGUGAGUAAUGCUUGGGAAUCUGGCUUAUGGAGGGGGAUAACUACGGGAAACUGUAGCUAAUACCGCGUAAAAUCUUCGGAUUAAAGGGUGGGACUUUCGAGCCACCUGCCAUAAGAUGAGCCCAAGUGGGAUUAGGUAGUUGGUUAGGUAAAGGCUGACCAAGCCGACGAUCUCUAGCUGGUCUGAGAGGAUGACCAGCCACACUGGAACUGAGACACGGUCCAGACUCCUACGGGAGGCAGCAGUGGGGAAUAUUGCACAAUGGGGGGAACCCUGAUGCAGCCAUGCCGCGUGAAUGAAGAAGGCCUUCGGGUUGUAAAGUUCUUUCGGUGACGAGGAAGGUUGAUAGGUUAAUAGCCUAUCAAAUUGACGUUAAUCACAGAAGAAGCACCGGCUAACACCGUGCCAGCAGCCGCGGUAAUACGGGGGGUGCGAGCGUUAAUCGGAAUAACUGGGCGUAAAGGGCACGCAGGCGGUGACUUAAGUGAGAUGUGAAAGCCCCGAGCUUAACUUGGGAAUUGCAUUUCAUACUGGGUCGCUAGAGUACUUUAGGGAGGGGUAGAAUUCCACGUGUAGCGGUGAAAUGCGUAGAGAUGUGGAGGAAUACCGAAGGCGAAGGCAGCCCCUUGGGAAUGUACUGACGCUCAUGUGCGAAAGCGUGGGGAGCAAACAGGAUUAGAUACCCUGGUAGUCCACGCUGUAAACGAUGUCGAUUUGGGGAUUGGGCUUUGAGCUUGGUGCCCGUAGCUAACGUGAUAAAUCGACCGCCUGGGGAGUACGGCCGCAAGGUUAAAACUCAAAUGAAUUGACGGGGGCCCGCACAAGCGG